AAUUGAGUACACAAUGUUAAAAUUUCCCAAUUCUUCUAUCUCCAUUUUCUAAGCCUGCAUCAAAACAUGAGCAGCAAUCAAUUUUCAUUUGGAGGGUUCCAUUUCAUAUCAAAGGAAUUAGAAGCAACCCAACCAUAUCAAAUCACAAAAAGUUUGAAAACACAAUAGGAUUCCCUUGGCUGGUCUUGAAUCCCUAACCAUCUGCUGGCUUCUAUUGCGUCGGUUGUAGGGAGAUCCAAAAUUUUCAUGCUCGACGACUUCAAGCUUUGAAGAUCUUUGGUUUAUGCACAAGUUCAUAGCUAUACAGGCUUCGUGUUAUUGUGUGCAUAUCGCUGAUUUUGUUGUAGGGGAUCUGCAAUACAACAAAGGGCUUGCUUUGACCGAGAAUUUCAAACAAUUUUUUUGAGAGAAGGAUACUGGCCAGUAAAGUACAAUAGAGAUUGAAUUCCCUAAAGGUUUUGGCCAAGAAAGGAGAAGAUACUUCGACUUAAAGGAGAACGAGGAUGACCCUUUUGCUAGAUCAACAUUCUUCUGAGAAAGUGAUACUUUUGUUGGCAUUGGCUGGAAAAUUGGAUCACGAAUUGACAGUAGACAAGGGUUAUAAAAUGAUUUAAAGCAUAUUUCAUGUAAUUAUUAGAUAGGGAAAGAAAAAAUGACAUUUUCUUCCAAAUAUAUUAUGUGAAUUAAGUUACAUGGCUAUUUUCCUAAGAGAAUUGGUAUUGUACUACUGAUAUCAAGUUUGAGGUCAGUUUGAGGAAUUAAAGGCUUUGCUAAGGUUGGGUGUUUUCGUUAGAGAACUUCAUUUGUAGGAUGGAGUUGGAAGUGAAUUCUUAGAAUCAGGUUCAAUGCUAUUUGGGCUGUGUAGUAGCUUGGCUAUUAGUUAUUAAUUCUUCUAUUUUUAUA